rnacentral:SRP_RNA from 1 species
GAAUAAAUUAAGGCAAUGAUGGAGUCACGAACCGAGUCAGGACCGGAAGGUAGCAGCUAUAAGUGACGAAGUCAUGUGCCGUUUUUUUAUGGUCA